CGAGAGGCACACCAACACCAGCAGAUGAGUCUCCGUUUAAUACUUGGGAUAUUAUAACAGUAAGUUAUAGCUCCAGAAGUCAGUCACCAGCAGCAGAUGUCACACAGUUAUAAAAUGGGAAACUUGUAGAAUAAGCUCCAGAAGUCAGCAGCAGCAGACGUCACACAGCUAUAAUGUGAGAAGCUUGAAGAAUAAUGU